UGUUUCAAGAUAAAAAAAUGUUUUAAGUUAAUAAUAAAAUGCUCUGCUGGGGCGCAUCUUGAUAUGACUGCAGAGGUCGAACCCUGAACAGUUGGGGCAAGUAUGGACACAACAUUCAAGCUUGAUACAGCACUGAAUUUGGAUUGUAAUUAAAUAUUUGACACAGCAUAGGUUUCUGACACAGAAUGAAAGUGGUCUAAGAACUUAAAAUUUUUUAAUUUACCUAUUCAAACCAUAUCAUUAUUAUUUGCUUUUAUAUAUAAAUCAGAAAUGACCAAUUUAAAAUGGAAAAUUUUAAAGAAAAAAAAGGAAAAAAUCCCCCCCCCCAAAUUUUUUGAACCCCCUUAUGAUUCAUCACCCCCAAACUCAAUCCCAGCUUUCCCUUUGUGGUAUGUUACCUUGCAGUACAAUUUCAGAGAGAUCCAUACACUUGAACACAAGUUAUUGUCUGGAAACUAGUAAAAUGCUUGUUUUUUGGCCCCUUUUUGGCCCCAAAUUCCUAAACUUUUUGGGCAAUUACCCCCAAACUCAAACCCAGCUUUCCCUUUGUGAUAUGGUACCUUGCAGUACAAUUUCAUAAAGAUCCAUACACUUACACACAAGUUAUUGUCCUGAAACAAGAAAAAUGCUUGUUUUUUGGCCCCUUUUUGGCCCCAAAUUCCUAAACUUUUUGGGCAAUUAUCCCCAAACUCAAACCCAGCUUUCCCUUUGUGAUAUGGUACCUUGCAGUACAAUUUCAUAAAGAUCCAUACACUUACACACAAGUUAUUGUCCUGAAAGUAGAAAAAUGCUUGUUUUUUUGCCCUUUUAUGGCCCCUAAUUACUAAAAUUUUGAGGGAAUUACCCUCAAAAUCAAUCCCAGCUUUCCCUUUGUGGUAUGGUACCUUGCAGUACAAUUUCAGAGAGAUCAAUGCACUUGAACACAAGUUAUUGUCUGGAAACUAGAAAAAUGCUUAUUUUUGGCCCCUUUUUGGCCCCUUAUUCCUAAACUUUUUGGGCAAUUACCCCCAAACUCAAUUUUAGCUUUCCCUUUGUGAUAUGGAACCUUGUAGUACAAUUUCAUAAAGAUCCAUACACUUACACACAAGUUAUUGUCGUGAAACUAGAAAAAUGCUUGUUUUUUGCCCCUUUUUGGCCCCUAAUUCCUAAAAUUUGGAGGCAAUUACCCCCAAAAUCAAUCCCAGCAUUCCCUUUGUUAUAUGGAACCUUGUGAUACAAUGUCAGAGAGAUCCAUACACUAACACACAAGUUAUUGUCAUGAAA